GAGGCAGGAGUGAAUACAUCAGCUUCAGGGUUUGUUCUUGGACCCACUAUACAGACAGAUGACACAUACUGACAUACAUACAGCUCUCUGCCUGUCUCUUCAAUUCCCCUCUCCUUUUCAACUUGAUGUUUCCUGAAACCUCCCCAUCCAUGUCUGCUGCCAGGGGCCCAUACAGUAAGUAGGGUUUCUGGAAGCCAAGAUGAAGAAGAAAAUAACCUAGAAAAAAGGCACUAUGGGGAUGGAAGGAAUAUGCAUUUGCCCGGGAAACAAGGGAGUUCCCCCCCACUUCCUUCCUUGUCCUUCCACAAGUCACAAUUUAAACCUGUCACUGAAUGCAGAGCAGUAGCAACUAGUUCUUCCACUGUUGCUUGCUAGGACUUAUGAAUUAUGAUCAUGCAGGCAUGGCCUCAGAUCAGAUCUCAUAGUCAAUCUUCUUAUGAAUUGCCCCUGUCAUGUUAAGUUGUAGUUCAUGGAUUAGAGAAAUGUUCUUGAUGCUUAUAGCUAAGUAAUCACUUCAAUUUAGUGGUGUUUGAAGUUAACACUAACCAGUAACUGGGUACUGCAGACAUGGCAGCAUAGGAGCUCUGCUGGUGCAUGUAGCCGUACAUUGUUGCCGCUGCCGUGGUGUCUGCCUCCGGCUCUGGCCCGCAGUCGAGGUUGACGCCGAACAGCCUGAGCCGCCUCGAUGGCGCCGAGCCUGCACUGAAGCUUGGGCUGUCCGUGUCGCGCGGAGACUCGUCUACAGUUUGGUCAUCAGAAAUGGUAUGAGCAAGCAAAGCUCGAGGUAUGAAAUGUUAUGCUGUUCAUGUUAAUUUUGUUUAUGAUCAUCAGUUGCUUCGUCUUCGUUUCUUUACCUGCAUGGUGCAUGUCCCCGUGAUCAUGAUCUGCUGCGCGGCGGUAGGCGUAGGAGUUGGCUGGGCUGGUAGGGUAUGAGCCGCCGCCCGACGUGCUGUAACACAUUGGGCUCCACGGCUGCUGCUCGCCGGCGUUCUGUGCAGCCGGGGCGACGCGCACGGCGGGCGGCGGUGCGGGUGUUUGCGCGGCGGCGGCGUCGCCGCGGCGCCUGCAGCCGAUGAAGAGACGGUCGCCGACGCCGAAGGAGCCGCGCACCCUCUCGAAGUGCACGACGUCGCCGGCGUCGAGGCGCUUCUCCUUGACGUAGCGGCUCCAGCCCUUGGUGAGCACGUAGCUCUGGCUGCUCGUCCAGUAGGAGUACCUGAACCGCCACGGCGCGCCGGCCUCGUCCUCGAACGACAGGAUCAGGCCCUUGUCGGCGGCGUCGCCGGCGCCGAGGGGGAAGUACCUCUCGGCGUGCUGCUUGGGGAUCACCAGCCGGUUCAGCUUCCCCACGUCACUGGGCGUCAGGGGCUUCUCAAACAUGUGCUCCUUCUCGUAGUGGUGGUGGUAGUGGAAGUUGGCGUACAUGGCCACACCCCAUGGCCAGGACUGGGGUUGCUCCUGGGAGAAGAGAGGGUGGUUCAUGGCCAUUUCUGCUAGCUUACUUCUCUUUUGUGGCAAAAGCUUUUGCUGCUAGUGCUGGAGAGGGAUAGCAGGGAUGGUGUGCGGUGUAGAGAACAAUGCAGAUGUCAUGGCCACGCAUUUAUAGCCUACCAAGGAGAACUUUGGGGGUGUGUCCACAUAAUAAUGUAUUACUAUUUCCUUGGUACAUGACAUGAGGGGGGGCUUGGUCCAUUUUAACCUAGGUAGACAGGAAGAAUCAAAGUGAAGCGCAUCAAAGAUGCUGAGGUUAGAAUAUGUAGUUUCAUUCAGUGUAGCUGCUGCUGAUGAGGAAUGAUCAGAUACUCAGAUAGUGGCGCUUCAAAGUUGGUGCCUGGCCAUUGUGGCCUAAUCACAGCCAUCCAGGCGAGGUGGAGUAGACUUUGGCCCUACCACUACUCGCCAUGUGCCUGGUGGUUGCAACCUAGCUAUGUGUGACCACUGUCAUUAGCUCCCCCCAUUU
rnacentral:sRNA from 1 species